CUCCUCGGGGGAGGAGGCGGGGCGGGCGGAGGUGGAGGACGGGCCGCGCCUGGAGCUCCACUCCCGGGAGGAGGCUCGGGACUGGGUCGAGGACAGGGCGGGCAGGCCGGCGUCCGUCGGCGGGCAGCCCUGGUGCAUUUCCCCGGGACCCGGCUCGGCUUUUGGCUCGCGGAUCCACCUCCGCCUCGUCCCCCGGCUCUGGCGCAGCGUCUGGCCUGGGCGAAAACCUCUACAGACCCUAGGAUUGCCGUAGGUCAGCAGUCCCCACUGGAGAAAAAAAUCUUGAAUCUGGGUGGCGUGCAUACAGCAGCGGCAAGACAGCUGAUAACUCGGAAAUACCAUGAGGAAUAUGAAACAUUGUGCAGGGAGCAAGCUCUUUCUCUUGAUCACUGGCUGGCCAAAGCGGAGUCUUAUUAUAAUAAGAGAAUAAUGGACAUGAUGAAGGAGCAAGAGACAGGCCAUGAAGUCAAGAAGAGAUGGGAGGGGAAGACGACCCACAGGCUAGAGAGACCAAAGCAGUAUUACUUGGUUCCGGAGAGAGAGGUGAAACACAUAGAAAGGCACAUUCAGAGAGCGGGUCGGGUCAGAGAGUCUAAGAACAAACCAGGUAAACAAUUACCACGGCCCCCUAGUGAGACAACGUUCCCCAAAAUCGUGCCAGAAGAGCAUGGUGUCCUGAGCGCACAGAGAAGAAAGCAGGUGAGCGAGAGGGAACAGAUGCAGAUCCAAGGUCACCAGCAACGCAUGCUUCGGGGGAGAGAGCUCGCGGAGCAAAGGCGCAAGGAGAGAGUCUUGAGGAAAACCCAGAGCCAGCUGCUGACACGAGAGAGGCGUGGGAGAGCAAGGAGAGAGAUCAAAGAGCUUGAAAGUGUGACUGCGUAUCCCCUUUUCCAGCCACGCGGUAGAAGCCGGAUUAAAGUGACUGUCCUUAUGGAAAAGAAUAGAGAAGAAGCGCCUGCCAUCAUAAAACCACAUCAAAGAAAAUUCUUAACCAUGCCACCCUUUCUGAGAAGCCAAAUAGGAAAAAUAAAAGACUAGUAAAGUUUCAGUGCUUUGAGAAUAAAACCCGUGUC